ensembl:lncRNA
UUCUUUUUCUGUGCUGGGUCUUUGUUGUUGCAGGUGGACUGUCUCUGGUUGCAGAGAGCUAGGGCUUCUCUUCACUGUGGUGCCACAGCUUCUCAUUGCAGUAGCUUUUCCUGUUGCAGAGCACAGGCUCUAGAGCCAGGGGGCUCAGUAGUGUGGCUCUUGAGGGCUUAUUUGCCCUUGGGUAUGUGGAAUAUUCUCAGACCAUGGAUUGAACCUGUGACAGGCAGAUUCUUAACUGUUGGACCACCAGGGAAGUUCUAGGUUUCUUUUUGUGUGAGAAAACCUCCCACUAAUGUUUAAUUUUAGUGUUUUAUAUUGACUCUAUCAGAAGUCCUUCCCUUAUUUGCAGGAAGGUAAAGUGUGAUUCUCAGUUUUCUUCAGUUGAGACUUAAAUUGAGGUUUAAUAAUAAAAGGUGAGUGGAAUGGUGCCUGAGGAGGUAAGAACAAAAGCACAUUGAGAGGAAGGAGGGAUGACAGACUCAGUUCUAGAGGACCCAAUGGGAUUUGCUCUCAGGGACACCUACAGACUUCCUUACCCAUGUUCAAGUUGGCCCCUGGACUAAGUGACCUGUGGCUGACUUGAAAGAAACUCACCUUUGUAAACACUGUUCCGUGAAUUAUACCUAACUCUAGAAGAAGAAAUCAAACUUAAAAUGGAAGCCCAAACAGUCUCCUACUCGCCUGUAGAGAAGAGUGGAAAUUCUUCUGUUCACGAUUCAUGAGAGAGAAGGCCAGAGGAUGCAGGGAGACCAGUGUGGACAGCUCGGGCUUGAGUGGGCCUGUGUGCCCUUGCAAACCUGGGAACUCGUAGGAGAUGCCUCCCCCCAUCUGCCUCCAUUUGCUUUUUGCUUCUCUCUUUUCUCUAUCCACCCCCACAAACACAUGCACCCAUCAGAGGAAAGAGGCUAUUUCUGGCUUGCUAGCAAAGACAGAAAUCACACCCAGACAUAAAAAAACUGGGAGAGGAUACCUCUGAGAGAGAGGAUCACAUUUUUAAAUAGCUGAGUUGAAGACCCUUCAGAAAAAAAGAGACCUUUUGUGACAUUUGGCUCUUCCCUUUUCAUUGACUUGUUUUGCUUCAAUGGUUAAAAUUCUUCUGACAUUCUGUCAUUAGC